GGGUUCCCCAUGUUGGCCAUGAUGGUCCCAAUCUCUUGACCUCAUGAUCUGUCCACCUUGGCCUCCCAAAGUGCUGCGAUUACAGGCGUGAGCCACCGCGCCCAGCCCAAUAUACUCUUUGUUGAGGACAAUGUUCGAAAGUUGUUCCUGUACUCAGCACAGUAUGAAACUAGAUAAAUACAUUUUAGGGAAAUCAACAAUAGAAUUUUUUUGAAAGGAAAUUGGUUUUCAAGGUUUAUUCUCUAAAACAUACUAUUCCUCUCCACGAUCCCAGUUAAUCCAGACCCUCCUCGGUGGGCUUUAUCAAAUACCAAACUCACCUUCCUGAACCUUUUGCUGAAUCUCAUAUAAAGUUUUGUCACAGAACCUCAGAUUUUUCGUAAGGUUUUGUGUACCAUGCCAUGCCUGUGAAUUGCUCUCUUUGCUUUGUUUUUAUUUUUUGUAAGAAGUAGCCAGCAAGUAUCUUUCUUUGCUUUAGAGAUGUAAACUGCUUUUAUUUUCAGAUUAACUUUCAAGAAUGUUGAAAAUGCUUUGCUCGCUCUUCUUUUCUCGCUUCCUCCCUCUCAGGACCUAUAAAAGGCACCGCCCAGCCCAGUGGACAGAUGCCCCAGGCUGCACAUUCUGUCAGUGCUGUUCUCCAAGAGGCCCAGACACAGGCUGAAACAUCCAAGGGUCUCGCUCAGUCACCCAGGCUGGAGUGCAACGGCACCGCUGCAACUCACUGCAGCCUCGAACUCAUCAUGUAAAGAGGUCCUCCUGCCUUGGCCUCCCAAAGUGCUGGGAUUACAGGUGCUCGCCAGCAUGCCCGGCCCUCUUGGUAUAUAUUCUCUCAGGGCAGAAACCAUAAAGGGAUCAUCAUUGUAUUACUUGUGGAAUCCAGAAGCUCUGGUAGGCACAUAAAAAAUGACCAUUUUAUAAAUGAACCCAAUUAUUUCUACUACUCCAUCACUGUGUUAUCUAUAACAGUUUACCUGAGAUAACUUGUGAUGAUUUUUUUUUUUAGUGAAAUACGGUGUGUAUGUAUGCACACAUACACAAAUUGUACAUACCAGGAUUCUAGGCUUCCAUAAAACCAAACGGACCGUAGUCAAUUGUAAUGGAUAACAAACUGAAGUUAUCAGUAUUGCAAACACCUUUGUGUAUCAGUAUUACAAAAAGUAGCCCCCUUUUUAUUGCUGGAGACAUUUGUACAUCAUAGAAAAAAGUCCAGAAAAAUUAACAAUAAAAUGGUUAAUAGUGAUUACUUUGGAGAAUAAAACUCUACUCACUUCUGUAUAUUGUAAAUUAUUUACCAUAAGCAUGUAGUAUUUAUUAAAAAUUUAAAAAUUGCUUUAAAGAGAUACAUAAUCAUAUAUAUAAUCUUACAGGUAACAUCAUCCUGAUCUGUUCAAAACUAUUUUAAACAUGAAAAACAUCUUUCUCUAUCAUUAAAAACCAAUUUGUAGACCGUAGUCCCCGCUUAUCUGCAGAGGAUGUGUUCCAACACCCUCAAGGGAAUGCCUGAAACCACAGAUAGUACCAAACUCUCUAAAAGCUAUGACUUUUUCCUAUGCAAACAUACCUAGGAUAAAGUUUGACUUAUAAAUUAGGUAGAGUAAGAGAUUAAAAA